CCCACAACUCACUUCCAUAAAGCAGCAUGCUCAACAUGGAAGCCUGGUAGACUUUCAUCUUGGUAUUGGACAUUAGCAUCACAUUCUCCCAUACCCUGUUGGAGAGGUGCAGCAUAGAUCUAGGUGGUGAAGGUGCAUGGGGACAUGGAAGGCAUUCAAAGAGACCACAGAGGAAAAUUCACACAUCGGGAGCAGCUGUUGUUCUUGUUGAGGUAUUUGUCUUCUUGUCUGAAUCCUGGAUGAUUGAGGAAGCAGGCAGCCGUGGAUGGAGGUGUUGCCAGGAGAGAUGACCAUCAUUUCCAGAUUUUCAUCAGAACUUCUACAACAUCCAUGUCAGAGAGAGGGAGAAAUGCCAGAAGGAAGCCCUUAAAUGCCAUUCAAGUGAGAGGAAUGUAGACUGCUGUACAAAGUAAGAGUUGCAUCCACUGUUCUGCCUACCUUUGCCUCUGGCCCCACCAACCACUCUCAUAUGGUCCCUGGAAGGUUCUCCAGGAGGCAAUGUGGCCAUUGAACUGAAAAAGAUCACCCACCCCUGCAUUAAGUGUUCAGAUACAUAGGUAAAAUGUUAUUCUACUUUUUAUACAUUUGGAGCCUAAACAGCAUCGCCAAAGGAUCUCACCUUUCAAUACUUCCCAGCACUAGAAGAGACCGACCCACAGGAGAAUCUCCACAGGCUGCCAAAAUACUCACUGGUAGACAAAAAACACCCUGAUAUGAUUUACAGUAUAUAAUAAAAAUCAAGUGUUGAGCAACAUGAGAACCGGGAACAAAACUAGCAUAAUUUACAA